AUAAAGCUGCAAUAACUCAUCUCAACAAGAAGAGUACAUUAGUCAACACGAAAAAGGAUUAUGCUGUAGUAUUUGUAUGAAGCCUUUAGGUACAACAGGAGUGAAGCACAAAUAUUGCAAGCUUUCAAAAAUACCCCUCACGAUGAAACAGACAUGUUGACCGAGAGAUCUCUGCUAUUCCCUCUUAUAAGGCUAGUUGGCAGUAGUGCCCGGCCCAAGGAGCUUAUAAAUUUUUGAUUUAACAUAAAAAAAAACUUUUGUUUACAAACUGUGAAGUAAAGUUGGACAAAAUCUACAUAAUUUGAUUCAGAAUCUAUACAAACUGCAGUUCUAUCAGCUAUAUUAGGUCCCUAAUAGUUGUCGUGCUCUUAGGAAGCAGAGUGUUUUUGCCUUGCGACCGAGACAACAAGCUGGUCUGGAAAAUGCAAAACAAAAAAUGCUUUAGCAUGUGCGUACUACAAAUUAUCAGAAUGGAAAAAGUAGAAAGUAACACAUCCGUACAUCACAAUUAUUAAAAGAAAUAUUUUUUUGAAAAUUCUCUUUAAAUUCUUGAUUGUAACAUACUUUAGAGUCUACUCACCUAAAUUAUUUUCUUAAUUCCAUAAAUUUUAACAAAAGAGGAGGGGAAAUGUAUUGGGUAUAGCCAAUACAUUAGUUAUAAUUUGUGUUUGAAUUUGUUUGACUUGCUUUAUAGUCUUAUAUGAGAUUAGUGCAUAUGAAGUCUUCUGUACAGGAACUACACUUGGUGUUGCACUAAUAGAAAGUAUCUAAAAACAUCAAAUUUAAAUAUUUGUACCCCGCCGAAGUAAGGAACCAUGAUAGUUGAGGAAAAAAUAUUUGCUAGUGCUAGAAGUUAAUGAAUGUUACUCCGUAGCGUCAAAUCUUAUGAUGUUUAAGAGUCUUAUGAAAAAUUAAUUAUGUACCAUUUCUCUCUAAGGCAUUUCUCACUAUUUUUUCCACCAAGAUAUGAACGUUCCUGAUCUGCUCAAUUUAAGCGUUGUCCAUCUUUCUUUUAUUUGUAGGCAUAUAAAUUUAUUACUACUAAAGUAGAGAUAUAUUACCACAAUAAUAUGAAAUAUAAAGCAUAACUAUUUAGUAUUAUUAAUAAGCAUAUGACAAUAGACUAAAGAAGUGCAGAAUCACCUAUAUAGUUGAAGUCAUGUAUUUUAGUAGAAGCAAGAACUUGUGAAAUCAAGCCAUUAUAUUUCCAACCAAAUUUAUCAACCAAAAAAAAAAACAUAGAAACGUGGAUAAGAUGUAAACAUGUAGGUUAACACUACUAUAAAUUUACAUAUCCAGAACAAUGUCCUUCCUUAGACAUAAAGAUCUUUUUGAAUUAUUUUCUUUGUUCCUUCAAUGAUCAUUUAUCAAUAUUGUAGGGCUGGUGAUAGUUAUUAUUUCUUCUAAUUUAGGUUCUAACAAUAUAUUUUCUACGGACUUUAUAUGUUUCCAAUGGUACUGUAGUUCUAUAUGUGAUUCAUUCAGGGAUAAACAUUUUUGCUGAAGAAUAAGGAUUGGCUAAAUUAAUUCCUAAAGAAAAUCAUUUUAAUUAAUACUGACACAGGUCUUUCGAUGAAAUGCAACAAUUAACUCUCAGAAGAAAAUUAGAAAAAUGAAGUCAUACUCAGAUGUGCAAACAUGUAAGUUUGUCUGUGUAGAGACAAUGUCAUAAGGGACCAUCUAGGUUUAUUCCUCUAAACAUGUAGACCAAAAAUUCAAAGAACAAUCUAGUGCAAAUUACCACAAUGGAAGACUAAAUAAUCAGAAAAAUAUUUUAAAUAUUCUGAAGGCUUUGUAUUCUGUUGUGCAGUACAUUUUAAUAUUUCAGGAAAAUCCCCAAAUCAGGAAUGUUUACCUGUUAGUCCAAACUAUAUAUACAAAAAUACAUAGUAGUCGAACCAAAGUCCAAAAUUGCAUGUAUAACUAAAGAUAUUAAAACAUAUACUUUAACAAACUGAGAAUACUACUCAGAUUUCAGUUGUGCUGACCAAUUAACUCCCGUUUUUUUUCUUUUAAUGAUAAAUUCAAGAAGCAGCAUGACAAAACUAAGAUUUUCAUGUAACUAAACCAUUCAAUCAAACAUUACUGGAAAUAAUUCAUACACAAAAUAGCUAUCUAUAAGGAAUAAUAAUUUUUACCUCUUUUUUUGUUCCAAGUACUACUUCUCGUCUUCAUCUCCCUGGAUACAUGAAAUUAUAAUCUAACUCUGAAGGACAGAGAUGGAUUAACAAGCAUAUGCAAAUUUGAAAUACCCCAAACAUUGUAACAAAAAUUGCAGACCGAAAUUGGAAUAGAGAAAUUUUAAGGGCCUGGAUUAUACAAAUUGCAUAAAAAAAUCGAGUGUAAACUGCAAAGUUGAAUUAAUUUAGGCAGAUCCACUAGGAAACAAUCCAAACCCAACAACAGUUGAAGAAAAAGAAACGGAAGAGUAAAACUAACCUUCUAACCUGUGAUUAUCUUGAUGGAGCAAAUAUUGAAUUGCAAAAACUCAGCAAAAAUCACAAUCUCUUGUCAAUAUAUAGCAGAAAUUGAUGCGUCAACGGAGAAGCAAAGGGAAUCUAAACAAAGCAAAAAGAGAGAUGCGAAGGAAAAUCUUGGUAAAGCAGAGAUUUAGGUGGUGGCAGUCAGAGUGGCUUGCGAAAUUACCUAUGUAGCCUUUCUCUAAACGAGUCAAAUCAGCCAAUACAGGGACACAACAGGAAUUUGGAUAGCACAAGAGCAGUAAGGACGAAAUUGUCUCCAGCAGCAAGCAAACAUGUCGACGAAGAGGUGUCUGCUUCACCUACUGUACUCACACUUCUAAUAUAGUAGAAAGUAGGAAAAAAUAAGUAUAUCAUAAGGAAUUAGAAAAUGCUAAUUCAGCAGCGUUAUAUUCGUUAGCUUUGUUAGGUUUUCA
rnacentral:lncRNA from 1 species